rnacentral:rRNA from 1 species
AACUUAAGCAUAUCAAUAAGCGGAGGAAAAGAAACAACAGGGAUUGCCUCAGUAACGGCGAGUGAAGCGGCAAAAGCUCAAAUUUGAAACCCUCGGGAUUGUAAUUUGAAGAUUUGGCAUUGGAGAAAGCUAACCCAAGUUGCUUGGAAUAGUACGUCAUAGAGGGUGACAACCCCGUCUGGCUAACCGUUCUCCAUGUAUUGCCUUAUCAAAGAGUCGAGUUGUUUGGGAAUGCAGCUCAAAGUGGGUGGUAAACUCCAUCUAAAGCUAAAUACUGGUGAGAGACCGAUAGCGAACAAGUACUGUGAAGGAAAGGUGAAAAGAACUUUGAAAAGAGAGUGAAAUAGUAUGUGAAAUUGUUGAUAGGGAAGGAAAUGAGUGGAGAGUGGCCGAGGUUUCAGCCGCCCCUCGUGGGCGGUGUACUGCCGACGCCGAGUCAUCGAUAGCGAGACGAGGGUUACAAAUGGGAGCGCCUUCGGGCGUUCUCCCCUAACCCUCCACACUGCCACCGACGACAUAAUCCACCCAUUCACUGG